rnacentral:pre_miRNA from 1 species
UUAACUUAUAUUUGUACGGAAUAGGAUCGUUUGCGUACGUUUGCCGCUAGGGGCGCUGUUCCAACUGCAUACAAAAUUGGGUUA